rnacentral:rRNA from 1 species
CCUACGGGGGGCAGCAGUGAGGAAUAUUGGUCAAUGGACGAGAGUCUGAACCAGCCAAGUAGCGUGAAGGAUGACUGCCCUAUGGGUUGUAAACUUCUUUUAUAUGGGAAUAAAAUGUUCCACGUGUGCGUUUUUGUAUGUACCUUAUGAAUAAGGAUCGGCUAACUCCGUGCCAGCAGCCGCGGUAAUACGGAGGAUCCGAGCGUUAUCCGGAUUUAUUGGGUUUAAAGGGAGCGUAGGUGGGUUGUUAAGUCAGUUGUGAAAGUUUGCGGCUCAACCGUAAAAUUGCAGUUGAAACUGGCAGUCUUGAGUACAGUAGAGGUGGGCGGAAUUCGUGGUGUAGCGGUGAAAUGCUUAGAUAUCACGAAGAACUCCGAUUGCGAAGGCAGCUCACUGGACUGCAACUGACACUGAGGCUCGAAAGUGUGGGUAUCAAACAGGAGUAGAUACCCUAGUAGUC